GUAUUCGCUUCGGCAGAACAUAUACUAAAUUGGAACUAUACAGAGAAGAGAGAUUUGCAUGGCCCCUGCAUAAGGGUGUCCAGCAAAUCCUGUGACACAUUCCACAUUAAA
ensembl:snRNA U6 U6 spliceosomal RNA